rnacentral:rRNA from 1 species
AGCAGCCGCGGUAAUUCCAGCUCCAAUAGCGUAUAUUAAAGUUGUUGCAGUUAAAAAGCUCGUAGUUGAAUUUCGGGAUCAUCAGGUUGGUCGUGCCUCUGGUAUGUACUUGCUUCGGUGGUCCCUCCUUCUUGAAGAACCGUAAUGCCAUUAAUUUGGUGUUGCGGGGAAACAGGACUGUUACUUUGAAAAAAUUAGAGUGUUUAAAGCAGGCAAUCGCUUGAAUACAUUAGCAUGGAAUAAUGAAAUAGGACGUUCGAUCCUAUUUUGUUGGUUUCUAGGAUUGACGUAAUGAUUAAUAGGGAUAGUUGGGGGCAUUAGUAUUCAAUUGUCAGAGGUGAAAUUCUUGGAUUUAUUGAAGACUAACUACUGCGAAAGCAUUUGCCAAGGAUGUUUUCAUUAAUCAAGAACGAAAGUUAGGGGAUCGAAGACGAUCAGAUACCGUCGUAGUCUUAACCAUAAACUAUGCCGACUAGGGAUCGGAUGAUGUUAAUUUUUAAUGACUCAUUCG